GGCCUCUCUGGGGGUCCUUUGCUGAUGGCUGUCCGUUCCCUGUAUGACCGGAGUCUGGUUCGCAUUGCCGGCAGUAAGUCGGACCUGUUCCCAGUGCACGUUGGCCUCCGCCAGGGCUGCCCUUUGUCACCAGUGUG